AAAGCGCCUGUAGGUUGUUUAGUAAGUCCGUUGUUAAAUACUAGGGCUUAACCCUGGGAAAGCAAUAGAAACUACUAGACUUGAGUAUGGCAGGGGUAGAGGGAAUUUCUAGUGUAGCGGUGAAAUGCGUAGAUAUUAGAAAGAACACCGGCGGCGAAAGCGCUCUACUGGACCAUUACUGACACUGAGAGGCGAAAGCUAGGGUAGCAAAAGGGAUUAGAUACCCCUGUAGUCCUAGCCGUAAACGGUGGAUACUAGGUGUUGUGCAAAUUGUACAGUAUCUUAGCUAACGCGUUAAGUAUCCCGCCUGGGGAGUACGCUCGCAAGGGUGAAACUCAAAGGAAUUGACGGGGGCCCGCACAAGCGGUGGAGCAUGUGGUUUAAUUCGAUGCAACGCGAAGAACCUUACCAGGGCUUGACAUACUGCAGAUCUUCUAGAAACAGAAGAGUACCUUCGGGAAUGUAGAUACAGGUGGUGCAUGGCUGUCGUCAGCUCGUGUCGUGAGAUGUUGGGUUAAGUCCCGCAACGAGCGCAACCCUCGUUUUUAGUUGCCAAUUUAUUGGGUUUUCUAGAAAGACUGCCGGUGACAAACCGGAGGAAGGUGAGGAUGACGUCAAGUCAGCAUGCCCCUUAUGUCCUGGGCCACACACGUGCUACAAUGGCGGAGACAAAGAGUCGCAAACCUGCGAAGGUUAGCUA
rnacentral:rRNA from 1 species